rnacentral:rRNA from 1 species
GCUGAAGUAGGUCCCAAGGGUAUGGCUGUUCGCCAUUUAAAGUGGUACGCGAGCUGGGUUUAGAACGUCGUGAGACAGUUCGGUCCCUAUCUGCCGUGGGCGCUGGAGAAUUGAGGGGGGCUGCUCCUAGUACGAGAGGACCGGAGUGGACGCAUCACUGGUGUUCGGGUUGUCAUGCCAAUGGCACUGCCCGGUAGCUAAAUGCGGAAGAGAUAAGUGCUGAAAGCAUCUAAGCACGAAACUUGCCCCGAGAUGAGUUCUCCCUGAGACUUUAAGUCUCCUGAAGGAACGUUGAAGACGACGACGUUGAUAGGCCGGGUGUGUAAGCGCAGCGAUGCGUUGAGCUAACCGGUACUAAUGAACCGUGAGGCUUAACCUUACAACGCCGAAGAUGUUUUG